rnacentral:lncRNA from 1 species
GCAGACUCCCCACGCUCCUGUCCCAGCUCCUCUGGGGGCGGGGGAUGCUCAGGAGGAUCCAGCACUAGGGGUGGGGCCCAGCGUCCAGGCCAGCUGAGCCAUCUGGGGCAGGGCAAGCUCUCUUCGGGCCUCACUGUCCCUAUCCGUAAGGCGAGGUUGAUCACACAGGCCCUCCUGGGCUGUCGUGAGGCUAGACCAAGGAAGUGGACAUGCUCACCAGAGGCUGCAGUCCGGUGCUUGCUGCCCCCUCCCAGCCCAGCAUCCUCCUUGCUGGCCUCACCUCCUGGCUGGAGGGCUGAGAGCCACUGCCUCUCUUCCUCCACUUCCUCCUGGGUGCACAGGAGGUGCAGCCUCACAGCUCCACACACUCCUGUGUUCACUCUGGACCUGGGAGCAGGAAGUACACGUGAAGAGGCUGCAUUUGGAGAAGCCUGCGUUCAGUUCAGAGCAGACUCGGCCCAAAACCUAAUUCUGGACACCCAGCAUUUGUCAGCAUCAGCCCCCCUCCAGGCUGGGCCCCCAGGGGCUGGAGAUGACCCAGACAAGGUCUGUCUUCAAGUUGCCCACCGCUGCGAGGGGAAGGGAGGGAACCGCCAUGCACAAGGAUGGAAGGAGUGCCGUUGGCGGAGAUCCCUGGGCAGCGUGGUGUGGAGAAGGGGCGGCCCUGUGCCAGGUGCACGUGGGAAGGGUGCCCAGGCAGAAGCAGCAGCGUGGGCCAAGGCCUGGAAGCAAUUGGGGACUGGUGGCAGGUUGGGGACAGCCAGAGGGUGGGGUGAGGGAUGCGGGGAGGCUAGGAGGCACCCUGUCCAUGUGGAGGGCCUCGCCUUCUGGGGCAGAGGGUCAGGGAAGGAAGGUGCUGGUGGGGUCCCAGGUGCCUGUCUCUGGGAGGUGCAAAUGGCCCUAAUUGAUUUAUUAUCUGGUACAGACACAUCCUGCUCCCGCUGUGGAGGAAAUACUCACAGGACCACAGGGGAGCCGGGCUGCGAGGGGCAGGGAGGGGAUGCCGGCAAACAGACCUCCAGUGUCCGCCUACAUAAGCCUCGGCCUCUCUCAUGGCAGCUGUCAGCUCUGACCCUGAGGCUAGGUGACCCUAGACAGACCCCUUACCCUCUCUGGGCCUCAGUUUCCCCUUAUGUAAAAAGCAAGUGUUGA